CAAUCUAACUAUUGAUGGUCUCUUUUUCCCUUAACAAAUUAAGUUAUAGACAUAGAAUUGGCAUAUAUAUAUAUAUAUAUAUAUAUAUAUAUAUAUAUAUAUAUAUAUAUAUAUAUAUAUAUAAUUCUCUUGCAUUUUUCUUUAAAACAAAAUUGUUUACCUCAGUGAGUAUAUUGUUGAGAUAUUGGAUAUUUCUAUCCGGACGGGUUUCAACAAGUUGGAGAUUGUUGUUCUGAUGAUGGACAAUGGCAGAAUUAUGGUUAGGAUUCGAAAAGCGAUGAAUGAGUUCUUGAACACUUGGAUGGCCAAAAGAAAACACUUUCCCACCAGGAGAGAACACAAUCAACAGAAUCUCUGCACCACUUAAUGUGCAAAGUUCACUAGCUUUUUUGAAAAGACCGAAUCUUCUUUUUGAGAAAGUAACCUGAAGGUUGCUUUCGUUUUCCAUUUUUUUCAUCUCUAUUUUCUGACGACCUUUGGUACUUCUCACCAUUUUCUCAAAAAUUUGAAUAAACAAAUGACAAAUUUGAUGCUAAGAAAUAAAAUA
rnacentral:sRNA from 1 species